GACAGAGGUGCCGAGCGUUAGGCGGAAUCACUGGGCUUAAAGCGUGUGUAGGCGGAUGCCUAAGUACCUUGUGAAAUCCCACGGCUUAACAGUGGAACUGCUUGGUAUACUGGGUGUCUUGAGCCACUUAGGGGCGACCGGAACAAACGGUGGAGCGGUGAAAUGCGUAGAUAUCGUUUGGAACGCCAAUGGUGAAAACAGGUCGCUGGGAGUGUGCUGACGCUGAGACACGAAAGCCAGGGGAGCGAACGGG
rnacentral:rRNA from 1 species